rnacentral:rRNA from 1 species
UACGAAGGGGGCUAGCGUUGUUCGGAUUUACUGGGCGUAAAGUGCACGUAGGCGGAUCGUUAAGUCGGGGGUGAAAUCCUGGAGCUCAACUCCAGAACUGCCUUCGAUACUGGCGAUCUUGAGUCCGGAAGAGGUGAGUGGAAUUCCUAGUGUAGAGGUGGAAUUCGUAGAUAUUAGGAAGAACACCAGUGGCGAAGGCGGGUCUCUGGGCAGUAACUGACGCUGAGGAACGAAAGCGUGGGUAGCAAACAGG